AUUGAACGCUGGCGGCAUGCCUUACACAUGCAAGUCGAACGGCAGCACGGGUGCUUGCACCUGGUGGCGAGUGGCGAACGGGUGAGUAAUACAUCGGAACGUACCUUAUCGUGGGGGAUAACGCAGCGAAAGCUGUGCUAAUACCGCAUACGCGCUGAGGGGGAAAGCGGGGGAUCGCAAGACCUCGCGAGAUUCGAGUGGGCGCUGCCUGAGUAGCUUGUUGGUGGGGUAAAAGCCCACCAAGGCGACGAUCAGUAGCUGGUCUGAGAGGACGAUCAGCCACACUGGGACUGAGACACGGCCCAGACUCCUACGGGAGGCAGCAGUGGGGAAUUUUGGACAAUGGGGGCAACCCUGAUCCAGCAAUGCCGCGUGAGUGAAGAAGGCCUUCGGGUUGUAAAGCUCUUUUGUCAGGGAAGAAACACCGGCUCUAACACAGUCUGGGAAUGACGGUACCUGAAGAAUAAGCACCGGCUAACUACGUGCCAGCCGCCGCAGUAA
rnacentral:rRNA from 1 species